UGGCCUUUGAUUGUCAAGAACUUUUACGAUCAAUCUUGGAUCCCAAGACGACUCACACACUAUAUGAUGGAUGAUGGAUGAUGGUAUUGUGAUGGUGGUGGUGGGUGAGUGAAGUGUGAGAGAGGUGGUGUGCCAAGGGAUGUUGACCACGCCCCCGUGUUCGCUGGACACGACCCCGUGUGCAGAAGCGUAUCUGUACUAUCAAGAUUUCCCUAGAUUCUGCGAAUCUUAG
rnacentral:lncRNA from 1 species